CUUUCUAAAGUUCCUUACCUCCAAGUCACCUGGGCCAGAUGCCAGGUCAAAAUGUACAAAAGCCUGUUAGUUCUUCAUCCCAUUGUUCCAAAGGAGUCCAAAGCCAAGAAAGCACCAGGCGUAUUACUGCCAUUCCAAGUGAGUUUGUCCAAGGUGCCAUCCGAAGGAUUUCUCCUACACUUUCCAGCAGCUACAGACAAGCUGAGCAAAACCAGCCUCAAUUUAACAGCUUGGAUUCCUUGGCCUCGAAGUGUGAAGUGACCCAGAAUAGCCCUGCAGGUUUUGGUCAACAGGGCCCAGUCAGAUUCCAGGAAGCGAACCUCUCCAUUUAGAAGCAGUUCUCAACAUCUGCUAUAAACCUUGAUUAGGUGUGUUUUGGGGAGGCUGUCAGUCAUCAGGCUCCGGUCUUUGCAAGGACCGCAGGAUGCUCCGAGUGAUCCAGUGCGCUGCUGUUC